rnacentral:rRNA from 1 species
GAUGAACGCUGGCGGCGUGCCUAAUACAUGCAAGUCGAGCGAACAGACGAGGAGCUUGCUCCUCUGACGUUAGCGGCGGACGGGUGAGUAACACGUGGAUAACCUACCUAUAAGACUGGGAUAACUUCGGGAAACCGGAGCUAAUACCGGAUACUAUAUUGAACCGCAUGGUUCAAUAGUGAAAGACGGGUUUGCUGUCACUUAUAGAUGGAUCCGCGCCGCAUUAGCUAGUUGGUAAGGUAACGGCUUACCAAGGCGACGAUGCGUAGCCGACCUGAGAGGGUGAUCGGCCACACUGGAACUGAGACACGGUCCAGACUCCUACGGGAGGCAGCAGUAGGGAAUCUUGCGCAAUGGGCGAAAGCCUGACGGAGCAACGCCGCGUGAGUGAUGAAGGUCUUCGGAUCGUAAAACUCUGUUAUUAGGGAAGAAGAAAUGUGUAAGUAAAUAUGCACGUCUUGACGGUACCUAAUCAGAAAGCCACGGCUAACUACGUG